CAUCAGGUCAAUCAGGCUGGAACAUCUGUUACUGCAUUAAUUGCUGGAGAUAAUUUAGAUGAUCAGGCUGGUGAAGUGGUCUCCCCUCUACUUUGCUAUCACAAAUACAUGUCUUUCAGAGUGAACACUGUUGAAAGAGGAUGCAUAUUCCUGAUAGAAAAGAGUAAUUCUCUUGUCAGGGGUAGAGAAGGAGAGGUGUAUUAGUUAGGGGUUUAUUUCCCUACUACAACCUCUACAGGAGCUCUUCCUGUCAAA
rnacentral:sRNA from 1 species